rnacentral:rRNA from 1 species
CCUACGGGAGGCAGCAGUGAGGAAUAUUGGUCAAUGGACGAGAGUCUGAACCAGCCAAGUAGCGUGAAGGAUGACUGCCCUAUGGGUUGUAAACUUCUUUUAUAUGGGAAUAAAAUGUUCCACGUGUGGGAUUUUGUAUGUACCAUAUGAAUAAGGAUCGGCUAACUCCGUGCCAGCAGCCGCGGUAAUACGGAGGAUCCGAGCGUUAUCCGGAUUUAUUGGGUUUAAAGGGAGCGUAGGUGGAUUGUUAAGUCAGUUGUGAAAGUUUGCGGCUCAACGGUAAAAUUGCAGUUGAAACUGGCAGUCUUGAGUAUAGUAGAGGUGGGCGGAAUUCGUGGUGUAGCGGUGAAAUGCUUAGAUAUCACGAAGAACUCCGAUUGCGAAGGCAGUUCACUGGACUGCAACUGACACUGAGGCUCGAAAGUGUGGGUAUCAAACAGGAUUAGAUACCCGGGUAGUC